rnacentral:tRNA from 1 species
UCCCUAGUAGCUCAGCGGUAGAGCGGUCGGCUGUUAACCGAUAGGCCGUAGGUUCAAAUCCUACCUGGGGAG